rnacentral:rRNA from 1 species
UACGAAGGGGGCGAGCGUUGUUCGGAUUUACUGGGCGUAAAGGGCGCGCAGGCGGCUCAUUUUGUCAGGCGUGAAAGCCCCGGGCUUAACCUGGGAACUGCGUUUGAUACGGAUGGGCUAGAGUUCGGGAGAGGAGAGUGGAAUUCCCAGUGUAGAGGUGAAAUUCGUAGAUAUUGGGAAGAACCCCGGUGGCGAAGGCGGCUCUCUGGACCGAUACUGGCGCUGAGGCGCGAAAGCGUGGGGAGCAAACAGG